rnacentral:sRNA from 1 species
UAAUAAAAAAAAAUUAUACCAAUUGCAAACCGUAGAAAAAAAGGUAAUUUUAUAUAGGAACGGUAUUAUCGAAACAAAAACCGUAUAUUUUUGGAUAAAAAAUUACGAAUUAAAAAAACAAAUUAUUUUGGAUAUUAUAAAAAUAAAAAUUAAAAAUAUAAUUUUAAAAAUCCCCUGGUUUAUAAAAAAUAACCCCUAAAUAAAUUGGAUAAUAAACCAAAUUUAAUAAAAAAAAUACCUAAUUAUUAAACGGUUUUUUACUUAAAAAAUUUAUAUAAAAAACGUAAAAUAUAAAUAAAUUAACCAAAACAAAUAACGUAUUUAUAAAAAGGACGACCAAACCCGGAAUUAAUAUUAGAAAAAAAACGAUUAUUUACAAACCAAAACCGAUCCAAUUAUAUAAUACCAAAUAUAAAUAAAUAAAUUGAAAACGGUAAAAUUCCAAAAAAAUACCAAAUUUAUACGCGAUUAUUUAACCAAAAGUUCGAAAUAAAAUUACCCGAAUAUAAUUUAUUCGAUUACGAAAUAUUAUUAAAAAAAAACCCAACUGAAAUUUUAUAAAAUAUACGGUUUAAAUUUAAUAUAAAUAAAAAUAUUAAACGAAUAUUUUGCAAAAAACUUUAAAGAUAAUUAUAUUAAAUUAUUAAUAUUACCAGCAAAAAACCCAAUUUUUUUAUAAUAAAAAAAACAAACAAUUACAAUUAUAUAUAAAUUACAAACAAUUAAACGAUAUUAUUAUAAAAAAUUAUUACCCGUUCCCAUUAUUAGACAAAUUCCGAAAUAUAUUUUACCAAAUAUAAUAAUUUACAAUAUCAAAUUUUAAAAAAAUAUACAAUUUAAUUUUUAUAAAAAAAAGCGAAAUAUAGAAAACUGCGUUUCGCAUUAAACGAAAAUAUUAUAAAUAUUUAAUAAUAUUUUUUAAUUUUAUUAACGUUCUAAUAAUUUUUCAAAUUAUAAUUAAUUACGUUAUUAAAAAUACCUAAAUAUUUUUAUCGUUAUUUAUUUUAAUAAUACUUUUUUUAUAAUAAACAAAUUAAUUUUUUAAAAUAUAUUAUUAUUUUU